rnacentral:rRNA from 1 species
GACGAACCGUACGAACGUUAUUCGGAAUUACUGGGCUUAAAGGGUGAGUAGGCUGCGCGGAAAGUUGGGUGUGAAAUCCCUCGGCUCAACCGAGGAACUGCGCCCAAAACUACCGUGCUCGAGGGAGACAGAGGUGAGCGGAACUUAGGGUGGAGCGGUGAAAUGCGUUGAUAUCCUAAGGAACACCCGUGGCGAAAGCGGCUCACUGGGUCUCUUCUGACGCUGAGGCACGAAAGCUAGGGUAGCGAACGGG